CCCCGGGAUCGUGCUCGGUCUCGGGCGGAGGCCCCGUGCCGGUCCUACUAAAAAGCCACACGGGAGCCCAGCGGCGGCGCCGUGCCGAUCCCAAAGACAGAGGCAGUCGAGCAGCAACCCUACAGGAGCCCCAGCACGAGAGAUCUUACCGAGCGACUCUCAAACACUCACCGCUUCCACGAGCUCACUGCUUCGGGCCGAUGAGAGCCUCUGCUGCAGCCCUCGCUCAGCCUGCAACACGAGAAACCUUUUGUUUCAACAACCCUUCGCUUCGCUUCCCUCUCCCGGCAGCACAGAGGCUGCACGAAUACGGCCCCAUCGCGUUCGCUCCUACCGAGGAGAGCCUGAAGAACUGAAGCACCCGCUGAAAGAAAUCCCGAGGAUGGGGGGGCUGAGAGCACCCCGGGGCUGCGCGAGAACUCGGGGGUCUGAGCGGCAGCCGCCUCCAAAAUGCGACGGCGGCCGGGCGACGGCGGCGAUGCCGUAUCGGCUCCGCACAGCCGGGGGAGCCCGGCGGCGACCUAACGCCGGCCCCGAGAAGAGCGGGGUCCGACAGCCGCCUGCUCCGGAGAUCCUGGCGGCUCCCGAGCGCUCACCGUCCCCUUACUACUCGAACCGCUCACCUGUUUGGGCUGGUCCUUACCGCGAAAGGUCUCACAGCAGCCUGAAACAAAACGACACCACGAGAACAUUAAAGAGAACCUCAAGGCUCCGUCCCCCCCCAAAAAACCCCGCGUACCGCUUCUCAGCCUCAGCAGCGUCAGGGCCCGACAAAGAAACAGAACUCACUCCGUCUCCUAUCCACAACCGCAGAAACUCCCCCGUGGCUCCCGGCAGCCUCCGGAGGAGCUUAAGAGGCUUUGGGGCGGGCCCCGCCCGCGGCUCCCGACGAGGCGCAGCUGCGCCCGGCCGGCCGCGGCCCCGCGGCACCUGGGAGUCGUUGCCUCCUUAGCGCAGCCGGCCUCGUUAGGGACGGCCCGGGGCUCUGACAGUUUGACGUGCGGACUCCGGAUCUGAAUUAGGGACUUAAAUUACACUUUGAAGUACAGUUUGUUACGCGCUUCUCCUUCUCGCCGCACUGUGGGAUUCAUCGAUAAGUUAAGUAAUUGUGCCAAUUCAAACGGGUCGCUUUGCAUCCGACGCGACCGGCGCGAUAGAGCGUCUCCCCUCCGAAGAACGUUCCCGGCCUUAACGGUUUCCAGGGGCCCCCGAUGGGUGCGUCUCCGCUCCGCUUUCCAUCGCCCCAAUUCCGAACAAAAGAAAAAGGAAAAAAAAAAUAAAUUAAUUAAUAAGAAAAAUAAGUCUUGUUGGAACAAACGUGCAGACCUUCACUGCUCAGGGGGACUACAAACCAAAGUAAAACUAGGGGCCGGCAAAAACAUGGUGCUCCACAGUCUUAAUUUAAUAAAACCUCCUGAAACAGUGUGAAAUUCAGAAGCCUGUGGUCGGGCUGAAGCGUGGUGUGCUGGCUGGCAGAUGUUUGGAAAGGUGCUAAGAUGUAACUCUUACUGUCCAUAGAAUUUGCUGUUAACCACUUGCAAGAUACAAAGUGACGGCCAGCUGGAUGAAUAGGAGAAUGUAUGUGAACACCCGGAACUGACAGACCCGGGACAGUGCAUGUGGCUUGAAGUGGGCACUGAGAGAAAGCUCAGACAAUGUAUAUACAUGCUUUAACAUUCAAAUUAAUUUCCAUCGGGACACGACUUAAUUAAGGAGCUGCUGCAGAAGGAAGAAGAAGAAGCGGCGUGGGGACCUGGGAGGCAGGAGCAAGCAAGAAGAGGAAGCGGAAGCGUGCAGAUGCGGGGGGAAGGAGAGAGGCUCCCUGGGCAAAGCACCUGUCCCGUUAGCAGGGGCACAGUCACGUUUGAGUUGAGAGCUGCCGG
ensembl:lncRNA